AUGCAGCAGGCCCAGGCAGGUGCAGCUGGUCCAGCAGCAAUAAUGAUGCCUUUUUUCAUGGGUUGCCCAUUGGUGCAGAAGUUUAAUGGAGAUAAUGUUCAAGUUAAGUUUGGGGACUGGAAACAACAAGUUGAAUCCAUGCUAAGUUUUCAGUCUUGUACUGACUCCCAGAAAGCUGACAUUUUGUUAAACUUGCUCGAAGGUGAAGCAAAGAGAGAAAUAUUGACUCUAGAAAAGCGAAAUAGAGAUACUCCAAAGAAAAUUCUAGAUGUUCUGCAUGUUUUGUAUGGUGAAAACACUCAUGUUUCUGUGCUCAGAACUCGUUUUUUUAAUUGUAGACAACAGCCUCAAGACUCCCUCAAGUCUUUUUCUCUGCAGUUAAGAGAACUCUUUCUUUUGUUAAAACAGAGAGAUGAGGUGGGAUUUGAGGAUGGCGAUUCCAUCCUACGAGACCAGUUUGUCAUGGGAUUAAGAGACAGUUCUCUUCGCCAAGAACUACGGCGCCUGGUGAGGAAGACUCCUGCAUUAUCCUUUGACGAAGUCAAGAUGGAAGCGCUCGCACUGGAGCAGGAACAAGCUGAACUGUGGACACCUUCUUCCUGCUUGGCAGUAGAAAAGCAGGAUAACAGAACAACCAGAGACACUCGAAGGAGGCCAGAGCCUAGAUGGAGGUCAGAUAAUGGAGCUAGAGGUGUUAGGGGUGCCCCAAGGUACGAGUGGGAUCAACAGGGUCGCCCAAUCUGUGCUACCUGUAAAGAACCGGGACAUUAUAGUCGGAGCUGCCACACUAGAGUCCCCCAUCAGGAUUUUUAGUCCCUCCGGCCACUGUGGGUCAGGUGACCGGGCGCCCCUACAGUGACCCACCUAGUUCCCCACCCUCAGCAAGGUUUACAGAAAGUUGCCCCUAUGUCACAGUAAAAGUAGAUGAUAAAGAAUUUCGAUGUCUGUUAGACACUGGGUCACAAGUAACACUGUUUAGUGAAAGCCUGUGUAAAGACCUCUUUGAAGAGAAGCAUUUAGAUGGAGUCUUGCCUUGGCUUAAGCUUCGAGCUGCCAAUGGACUGAGCAUUCCUUAUAAAGGCUACAUUGUAGUUGACUUCCAGGUGGGGGGCGUUAGGGUCCCAAAUUGCGGGGUUGUGGUGGUAGAGGACACCUAUUUGGGUG
rnacentral:lncRNA from 1 species